ACGGGGCCGCACAAGCGGUGGAGUAUGUGGUUUAAUCGACGCAACGCGAAGAACCUUACCUGGGCUUGACAUCCCGGACGUCCUUGGAAACAGGGAGUUCCCGUUCGGGGACCGGGAGACAGGUGCUGCAUGGCUGUCGUCAGCUCGUGUCGUGAGAUGUUGGGUUAAGUCCCGCAACGAGCGCAACCCUUGCCUUUAGUUGCCAUCAUUGAGUUGGGCACUCUAGGGGGACUGCCGGUGUGAAACCGGAGGAAGGUGGGGACGACGUCAAGUCCUCAUGGCCUUUAUGUCCAGGGCUACACACGUACUACAAUGGGCGGUACAAAGGGAAGCGAACCCGUGAGGGGGAGCCGAUCCCAAAAAGCCGUUCACAGUUCGGAUUGGAGUCUGCAACUCGACUCCAUGAAGGUGGAAUCGCUAGUAAUCGCGGAUCAGCAUGCCCGCGGUCGAAUACGUUCCGGGCCUU
rnacentral:rRNA from 1 species